rnacentral:rRNA from 1 species
AUUAGCCGUGGCUUCCUUUGAGGGUACCGUCAUAAUCUUCCCUCUGACAGUGCUUUACGACCCGAAGGCCUUCUUCGCACACGCGGCAUCGCUGCAUCAGGCUUUCGCCCAUUGUGCAAGAUUC